rnacentral:rRNA from 1 species
UACAGAGGUCUCAAGCGUUGUUCGGAUUCAUUGGGCGUAAAGAGCUCGUAGGCGGUUUGUCGCGUCUGCCGUGAAAGUCCGGGGCUCAACUCCGGAUCUGCGGUGGGUACGGGCAGACUAGAGUGAUGUAGGGGAGACUGGAAUUCCUGGUGUAGCGGUGAAAUGCGCAGAUAUCAGGAGGAACACCGGUGGCGAAGGCGGUUCUCUGGGCAUUACCUGACGCUGAGGAGCGAAAGUGUGGGGAGCGAACAGG